rnacentral:rRNA from 1 species
UUUCUAGUGGCGGACGGGUGAGUAACGCGUGGGUAACCUGCCUUAUACAGGGGGAUAACAACCAGAAAUGGUUGCUAAUACCGCAUAAGCGCACAGGACCGCAUGGUCCGGUGUGAAAAACUCCGGUGGUAUAAGAUGGACCCGCGUUGGAUUAGCUAGUUGGCAGGGUAACGGCCUACCAAGGCGACGAUCCAUAGCCGGCCUGAGAGGGUGAACGGCCACAUUGGGACUGAGACACGGCCCAG